UGGGCAUAUGUCUGAAAAGGGGCUAGAUUUGCUAGUCAAGAAAGGUUUGCUAAAGAACUUGAAGAAGCCUUGCAUGGAUUUUUGCGAGCAUUGCGUGUACGGUAAAGCACACCGAGUUCAGUUCCAGCCAAGCAAACAUAGAAGCAGAGGCAUUCUUGACUAUGUGCACACGGAUGUAUGGGGUCCGGCUUCUGUCACUUCCAAAGGCGGUUCCAGGUAUUUUGUUACAUUUGUUGAUGAUUAUUCUAGAUAUGCUUGGAUUUAUUUUNCAGUAAAUCUUGUAUUACAAAUGGGGCUGAAUGGAUAUCAUACUUAUAGGGAUGCUAAUGAAAUAAACAUCUUAAGUCGAUAAUGCAGAAUAUUAUAAAUUACUUCAUGUUCUUUCUAAAUUUGUCACUUAUUUGUAAUUUAGUUAAGCCUAACUCCUAUCUUGUUGCUCUAACAUCUACACAUACACGAGGAUGUUGACUGCUGACAUAGAUGAUCAUCUACUUUUCCGUGAUGUUUAAAUGUGGCUAGUUUAAAAUAUGUUUCCUGACAAUGUGGCUAUAAUAGAUUAUCAUCUACUUUACCAUCAUAUGGAUAGAUUCUUUGGUCAUUCCUGUAAACUUAAAACAGUUGGUCAUUCAAGUGGUUGAAUCUUAUUGAACUUUCUUUGAUGCUUCGAUUCUUCUCACAAAAUAAUUUCCAAGUGUUCCCUUUUCGGGAUAAAUAUGUGCGCGAAAGUUAAGUUUUGACAGUGUAUAUGUACUUACAAUAAAAGAAAUUGUUUGAUCAUAAAAGGAAUUUGCUGUGCGUGCAAUUUUCUGACCCUUCACUUGCAAUAUUGUUGGAAUUUAAGAAGAGAAACAGUGCUUUAGAUCAUCGUUUUUGAACUAUUUCAUCCCUUGACAUAGCUGAAUUUUUCCAAGAUGGGAUUCUGAGUUUUCAAAUUCUACUAAAGGUACUUUUGUCUCAAUUAGGAAAAAGGGAAGAAUGCUUAUUUUCUUUCCUGGUUGACGAAGAAAAAUAAUCGACGUUGGCACAAAUGUUGUAUUUAAUUGGGUUUGAGAAGGGAAGAGUAUAAAACUAAUUUGGUUAUUAAAACUACUGUUGAUGGAAAUUGAGGAAAUCUUCUUCUGAGGAUCUCUUUCAGAACAUAGGAAUCCAUAGGAAGAUGGCCCUAGAAUUCUUCAAGUGACCAGCGAAUUCAUCCUCCUGAGCCUUUUAUAAGGAUUUUAUGUUAGUUGAUGAAAUAAUAGAACAAACUAUUGGUAUUGGGCUGAAAUGCACCUGAGCCUUUACCCUUAACAGAGAUGCCUCUAGACAAAUAUUAAUACCUAGGUGCUGGAUUAUUUUUGUAUAUUCUUAUCUGGAGUCUCAUGUAUUUGGGCUCGAUGUUAUAUCUGGUUUCCAUAAUUUUCUUUUACAUCGUUGCUAGUGUUUGAUAUGAUUGCAUUCCUCUCCAUUUGUUUCUGCAGAUGAUAUUUCCAUGGAUGUUCGAUGAAAUGCAUGCUCUGAGGCCUUUUAAAGAAGUUACCCAGCAGCAAACAUUUUCUAGGGGAUUUCUCUUUGUUUCACCAUUUCAUUUCAUUUAGAUAGUUCAAUCAUGAUUGAGCCUCGAAAAUGGCUGACUUUGGGCAUUAACUAAUUUAAGAGUUCUAACUUGGCAAAAAAAAAAAAAAACAAGUAUUCUGCUUGCUGUUGCUGAUUAAUGAAAGAUUAGUUUGGCCAUUUUUGCUGAAUUCUGUUUAGGGAAAGAUAAUGAAGGACUUAAGAUGUUUAUUUCAAUGUUCAGCAAGAUCUUUUUGCUGGAAAUCCCAAGUGAUGUAACUGUUAGUGCAGGAGGAACUUUUCAUUUUGCACAAGGUAGAGUAUAUUGAUGUUUCUUAUAGCAUAUUCUAAUUGAUUCAGACCUUGCUAGUCUUGAGCACAUCUAGUUUUUCUCAUUCUUAUCUCAUGUACCUUGAUUCAUAUGCAGGAUAAUAUGCAUCAAGCAAAGGAAAAUCAAGAAUCUACAUUGACAACAAGUCUUCAUUUGAGGUAGAAUUGGAAGCGAAGUGUAAAUUGGUGGAAGAAUAACUAGAUGCCAAGAGGCGGCUGUGGGAGUUGAGAGAACUAGAUAUCAAGCAGCGGGAGAAAUUGAGAAAUUGUCACAAUGAGGAAUUAUGCUCCCUUUUAUAGGUGGUGUUGUGUCACAUUUAAUGUUUUAGUGUAUGAUUCAAACAUUUGUAAUGAAAUUAUCAAUUUUAUGCAAUUCCAAAAUUUGUUUAUAAGGAUUUA
rnacentral:lncRNA from 1 species